rnacentral:rRNA from 1 species
GUGUGGUGAUGGCGUGCCUUUUGAAGAAUGAGCCUGCGAGUUAGUGAUGCGUGGCGAGGUUAACCCGUGGUGGGGGAGUCGUAGCGAAAGCGAGUCCGAUAAGGGCGUGAGUCGCGUGUUCUAGACCCGAAGCGGUGUGAUCUAUCCAUGGCCAGGAUGAAGCGUCGGUAAGACGUCGUGGAGGUCCGAACCCACUUCAGUUGAAAAUGGAGGGGAUGAGUUGUGGAUAGGGGUGAAAGGCCAAUCAAACACCGUGAUAGCUGGUUC